GUCCAAAGUGAUUCCACCUGCUGUGUCCUCCGUAUAUUUAAACAGGCAUUUAAUGCGGAAGAUGGACGUUUUGGCUCUGUUAGAGACUGCACAACUUAUUUAUCACCAGCCAUCCUUAUGGGGCUUGUCAUGUCCCUUGUUCUGCUGCUAGUUCUGGGUUAUGCAUUCCACAUGCUGAUCCAUUUGAAAUCAAUUGACAAAACACUAUCAAAUGAAAAAUUCUACCACCUACUUCCCCAAAACAAAAGACUAUUCUGAUGAAGAUGAGAGGGAGCCCCUAAGUGGUCAUCUCCAAGAAUGUUAUGAACUGAGACAGCAACAGUAUAGCAAGUGUCACAUGCAGCCCUGUACAUCUGUUCCCUAUUAGCACUAGAAUUGACCAUUGUUUCUCUUUUGUGUAUUUCUGUAAUUUUGAUUUUGUAUUAAACACAGUUUCCAAGAAAUAA